AUUGAACGCUGGCGGCAGGCCUAACACAUGCAAGUCGAGCGGAUGAAGGGAGCUUGCUCCUGGAUUCAGCGGCGGACGGGUGAGUAAUGCCUAGGAAUCUGCCUGGUAGUGGGGGAUAACGUCCGGAAACGGGCGCUAAUACCGCAUACGUCCUGAGGGAGAAAGUGGGGGAUCUUCGGACCUAACGCUAUCCGAUGAGCCUGUGUCGACUUAGCUAGUUGGUGGGGUAAAGGCCUACCAAGGCGACGAUCCGUAACUGAUCUGAGAGGAUGAUCAGUCACACUGGAACUGAGACACGGUCCAGACUCCUACGGGAGGCAGCAGUGGGGAAUAUUCGGCAAUGAGCGAAAGCCUGAUCCAGCCAUGCCGCGUGUGUGAAGAAGGUCUUCGGAUUGUAAAGCACUUUAAGUUGGGAGGAAGGGCAGUAAGUUGAUACCUUGCUGUUUUGACGGUACCAACAGAAUAAGCACCGGCUAACUACGUG
rnacentral:rRNA from 1 species